rnacentral:rRNA from 1 species
GGUUAAGCGACUAAGCGUACACGGUGGAUGCCCUGGCAGUCAGAGGCGAUGAAGGGCGUGCUAAUCUGCGAUAAGCGCCGGUAAGGUGAUAUGAACCGUUAUAACCGGCGAUACCCGAAUGGGGAAACCCAGUGUGAUUCGUCACACUAUCAUUAACUGAAUCCAUAGGUUAAUGAGGCGAACCGGGGGAACUGAAACAUCUAAGUACCCCGAGGAAAAGAAAUCAACCGAGAUUCCCCCAGUAGCGGCGAGCGAACGGGGAGGAGCCCAGAGCCUGAAUCAGCAUGUGUGUUAGUGGAAGCGUCUGGAAAGGCGCGCGAUACAGGGUGACAGCCCCGUACACAAAAGCGCAUGUGCUGUGAGCUCGAUGAGUAGGGCGGGACACGUGGUAUCCUGUCUGAAUAUGGGGGGACCAUCCUCCAAGGCUAAAUACUCCUGACUGACCGAUAGUGAACCAGUACCGUGAGGGAAAGGCGAAAAGAACCCCGGCGAGGGGAGUGAAAAAGAACCUGAAACCGUGUACGUACAAGCAGUGGGAGCACCCUUCGGGGUGUGACUGCGUACCUUUUGUAUAAUGGGUCAGCGACUUAUAUUCUGUAGCAAGGUUAACCGAAUAGGGGAGCCGGAGGGAAACCGAGUCUUAAUUGGGCGUUAAGUUGCAGGGUAUAGACCCGAAACCCGGUGAUCUAGCCAUGGGCAGGUUGAAGGUUGGGUAACACUAACUGGAGGACCGAACCGACUAAUGUUGAAAAAUUAGCGGAUGACCUGUGGCUGGGGGUGAAAGGCCAAUCAAACCGGGAGAUAGCUGGUUCUCCCCGAAAGCUAUUUAGGUAGCGCCUCGUGAAUUCAUCUCCGGGGGUAGAGCACUGUUUCGGCUAGGGGGCCAUCCCGGCUUACCAACCCGAUGCAAACUGCGAAUACCGGAGAAUGUUAUCACGGGAGACACACGGCGGGUGCUAACGUCCGUCGUGAAGAGGGAAACAACCCAGACCGCCAGCUAAGGUCCCAAAGUCAUGGUUAAGUGGGAAACGAUGUGGGAAGGCCCAGACAGCCAGGAUGUUGGCUUAGAAGCAGCCAUCAUUUAAAGAAAGCGUAAUAGCUCACUGGUCGAGUCGGCCUGCGCGGAAGAUGUAACGGGGCUAAACCAUGCACCGAAGCUGCGGCAGCGACACUGUGUGUUGUUGGGUAGGGGAGCGUUCUGUAAGCCUGCGAAGGUGGCCUGUGAGGGUUGCUGGAGGUAUCAGAAGUGCGAAUGCUGACAUAAGUAACGAUAAAGCGGGUGAAAAGCCCGCUCGCCGGAAGACCAAGGGUUCCUGUCCAACGUUAAUCGGGGCAGGGUGAGUCGACCCCUAAGGCGAGGCCGAAAGGCGUAGUCGAUGGGAAACGGGUUAAUAUUCCCGUACUUGGUGUUACUGCGAAGGGGGGACGGAGAAGGCUAUGUUGGCCGGGCGACGGUUGUCCCGGUUUAAGCGUGUAGGUGUGUGUUCCAGGUAAAUCCGGUUCACUUUAACACUGAGGCGUGACGACGAGGCACUACGGUGCUGAAGCAACAAAUGCCCUGCUUCCAGGAAAAGCCUCUAAGCAUCAGGUAACAUCAAAUCGUACCCCAAACCGACACAGGUGGUCAGGUAGAGAAUACCAAGGCGCUUGAGAGAACUCGGGUGAAGGAACUAGGCAAAAUGGUGCCGUAACUUCGGGAGAAGGCACGCUGACAUGUAGGUGAAGUGAUUUACUCAUGGAGCUGAAGUCAGUCGAAGAUACCAGCUGGCUGCAACUGUUUAUUAAAAACACAGCACUGUGCAAACACGAAAGUGGACGUAUACGGUGUGACGCCUGCCCGGUGCCGGAAGGUUAAUUGAUGGGGUCAGCGCAAGCGAAGCUCCUGAUCGAAGCCCCGGUAAACGGCGGCCGUAACUAUAACGGUCCUAAGGUAGCGAAAUUCCUUGUCGGGUAAGUUCCGACCUGCACGAAUGGCGUAAUGAUGGCCAGGCUGUCUCCACCCGAGACUCAGUGAAAUUGAACUCGCUGUGAAGAUGCAGUGUACCCGCGGCAAGACGGAAAGACCCCGUGAACCUUUACUAUAGCUUGACACUGAACAUUGAGCCUUGAUGUGUAGGAUAGGUGGGAGGCUUUGAAGUGUGGACGCCAGUCUGCAUGGAGCCGACCUUGAAAUACCACCCUUUAAUGUUUGAUGUUCUAACGUGGACCCGUAAUCCGGGUUGCGGACAGUGUCUGGUGGGUAGUUUGACUGGGGCGGUCUCCUCCUAAAGAGUAACGGAGGAGCACGAAGGUUGGCUAAUCCUGGUCGGACAUCAGGAGGUUAGUGCAAUGGCAUAAGCCAGCUUGACUGCGAGCGUGACGGCGCGAGCAGGUGCGAAAGCAGGUCAUAGUGAUCCGGUGGUUCUGAAUGGAAGGGCCAUCGCUCAACGGAUAAAAGGUACUCCGGGGAUAACAGGCUGAUACCGCCCAAGAGUUCAUAUCGACGGCGGUGUUUGGCACCUCGAUGUCGGCUCAUCACAUCCUGGGGCUGAAGUAGGUCCCAAGGGUAUGGCUGUUCGCCAUUUAAAGUGGUACGCGAGCUGGGUUUAGAACGUCGUGAGACAGUUCGGUCCCUAUCUGCCGUGGGCGCUGGAGAACUGAGGGGGGCUGCUCCUAGUACGAGAGGACCGGAGUGGACGCAUCACUGGUGUUCGGGUUGUCAUGCCAAUGGCACUGCCCGGUAGCUAAAUGCGGAAGAGAUAAGUGCUGAAAGCAUCUAAGCACGAAACUUGCCCCGAGAUGAGUUCUCCCUGAGACUUAAAGUCUCCUGAAGGAACGUUGAAGACGACGACGUUGAUAGGCCGGGUGUGUAAGCGCAGCGAUGCGUUGAGCUAACCGGUACUAAUGAACCGUGAGGCUUAACCUU